rnacentral:lncRNA from 1 species
AGGGAGAGUGACAGCUCUGUUUUGGAGAGGAUAAGAAGGACGUUGAGGGAUUGACGUUGACGAGGAGAAGCAGCGAAGCGUCGACCUCGCCGGGCUCCGGAGUUGUGGCGGCAGGCGUCUCAGCUGAGGCCGAUUGGAGGCGGAGCGAGAGGAAGAAAUAGAGAGAGAGAGGUCUCGAUUGUUUUGAGAAGAGAGAGAGCUCGACUGGGAGAGAUAAGGGGGAUUUGGGCCUUUCUUUUUUUUUAUUAUUUGGGCUAAGUUUAAUUAUCUUGGGCCAGAAUUUAUUUUAUUUUGGGCCUCCUUAUUUAUUUUAUAUGGGCCGAACUCAUUUAAAUAAUUGGGCCGAAAUUUUUAUCUCCUAUUUAUUUUCUUUGGGCCUUGUUGUAUUUAUUUUCAUAUGGGCCUUUAUUAUUUCUCUUUGGGCCGAAUUUACUAAUAAAAGCCCAACUGCAUUCUAUUUUAAUUGGGCUUUAGUUUAAUU